GGCCCAGCAUCAAGGAAAGAACGGAGAACUGCAGAGAACAAUUCACAGAUCCAGGUGCUUCCUUUGGGAGGAGGCAGCCCUGUUCUUUUCACUGGGGAGAUGAAAAAGUUCACAAGGUGUUGAACCGGAAGGGAAGCCAGUGACACCAAGCCCCUCAUUUUACAAAUGAAGAAGCUAAGACUCAGCUGGGAGUUGCUUUAUGACAUCAAGACUUGGCAUACCACUGCCUCCAAAGAACGGACAAUGAGAAUCACACCGAGAGCCAUGGGAAGGUGCCUAGUAGAUGUGACAAACAGAAUGCAACAUAUGAUCGGUGAGGAACUCUGAAGAAGAAUGAAAAUAAAGGAUUCAUCAAAGAAUAAUAUGACAGAAAGAGAAGAUGGACUGGUGGCAAGAACAAGAAAUGCAGAUGGGCGACCAGAAUACUCCAAUGGUUCCCCAAUAAUGCUGGGAUAAAUGGAGGAAGGAUAGACUUUGUGUAGUGAACUUUUGGGGAAAGUAGGCAUGGAUGGGUUAAUUAAUGAGAUACCGCUGCAUUGGAAUAUUUGAGAGAAUGCUAAAUGAUUAAUGACCAUAUUCUGAUCUCUCAUUAUAGCACAAGGAUGAUCCUAGGUUUUCAAAGACUGUCCUAGCAGAGAACAAAAUCUAUGUUUAGUUUCACCAGACUCAAAAGACUUUGAAUAUGUAGGUUGUAUGGUUAUCUUCUGAGCACUAGCUUAGGAAGGAGAGCAGAGGUUUAUCACCAGAAGGUUGUCCUAGUACUAGAUAGAUGAUAUGUGUGUGUAGAGGGGGUAAAAGUAUUGGCUGCAGAAAUUCAUUCCUGUCAUCUGCCAAUGCUCAUACAAAAUUGUGCUCUACAUCACUGGAGAAAAUAACUAAGGAAUGAAUAAAAAUAC